rnacentral:pre_miRNA from 1 species
GUAGUAUUCCCUCCGUCCCAAAUUUCUUGUCUUACAUUUGUUUAGAUACGGAUGUAUCUAACACUAAAAUGUAACUAGAUACAUCCGUAUUUAGACAAAUUUAAGACAAGAAUUUUGGGACGGGGGGAGUACAAA